rnacentral:tRNA from 1 species
GCCUGGCUGGCUCAGUCAGUAGAGCAAGUGACUCUUGAUCUUGGGGUUGUGAGUUCGAGCCCCACGUUGGGUG